rnacentral:rRNA from 1 species
CCUACGGGAGGCAGCAGUGGGGAAUAUUGGGCAAUGGGCGCAAGCCUGACCCAGCGACGCCGCGUGAGGGAAGACGGUCUUCGGAUUGUAAACCUCUUUCAGCAGGGAAGACAAAAGGACGGUACCUGCAGAAGAAGCCACGGCUAACUACGUGCCAGCAGCCGCGGUAAUACGUAGGUGGCAAGCGUUAUCCGGAAUUACUGGGUGUAAAGGGUGCGUAGGCGGAAUGUCAAGUCAGCGGUAAAAAUUCGGGGCUCAACCCCGUCGUGCCGUUGAAACUGAUGUUCUUGAGUGGGCGAGAAGUAUGCGGAAUGCGUGGUGUAGCGGUGAAAUGCAUAGAUAUCACGCAGAACUCCGAUUGCGAAGGCUGCAUACCGGCGCCCAACUGACGCUGAAGCACGAAAGCGUGGGUAUCGAACAGGAUUAGAUACCCUAGUAGUC